AUUUAAUAUAAACAUUUAAUAUAUGACGAUGAUCCUUGUGAAACUCCAUGUGACCUUCAUGGAUGGUGCAGGCUUGCCACCCAUAUCCACCCAUGUCAAAUGUUUGGAUUUCGCCAGACGAGAAGAAGUGGAUCAACUUAACUGCUACACCUCAAAACUCCCUUUGCAUAUCUUACUAAAGAUGUAAAAAUACUAGAAAUAUUGUAUGUUGUCAAGAUUGCUGGGUGUAAUAUACUUUGUAACCUUUGUGAAGAGGUCCUCCUCUUCCAAUUCUUGGUGUCAUUAAAUCACUCUCCCUAGACAAGGCCAUCUUGCAAAACUUGUAGAGCAGAGCACACCCUGGCUUUCUCAAAGAGCAUUUUGUACUUGUGGUGUCUCCCAGCAGUUGG